UACGUAGGGUGCAAGCGUUAAUCGGAAUUACUGGGCGUAAAGCGUGCGCAGGCGGUUCUAUAAGACAGAUGUGAAAUCCCCGGGCUCAACCCUGGGAACUGCAUUUGUGACUGUAGAGCUGGAGUGCGGCAGAGGGGGGAUGGAAUUCCGCGUGUAGCAGUGAAAUGCGUAGAUAUGCGGAGGAACACCGAUGGCGAAGGCAAUCCCCUGGGCCUGCACUGACGCUCAUGCACGAAAGCGUGGGGAGCAAACAGG
rnacentral:rRNA from 1 species